GCUAUACUCUGAUUAAAAAGUGUUCCUUUAAUUCUUUUGAGCAGUAUACAUACAUACAUACAUACAUAACUGUUCCAAGAGUAACAAAAUCUUAGAUUACCUAAACAAUGCAAAAUUAAUCCAAUACACUUUGGUACACUGCUGUAGUAUUUUUAAAGUAGUUAUGUGGUAAAUUCUAAGAUGCUUCUUGCAGGAUUUUCUGUUUUGGCUUUUUUUUUUUUUUUCCCAUCCAGGUGAUUCCACACCACUUUAGCUAUGAGACUGAAGCUCUGAGAUGACCAAUCCAGCAUUAUUAGUGUUCCUUCUGCAGACUUCACCUAAAUGAUAAAGAAGAGCUCCUCCAUCUCAGACAUCACUUUUGGUUUUCGCCCUCCUGAACCCGCACUUUCCGGCGGGAAAGACAAGUCAAGACAAGCUCUGAGGCAGGUGAAAUUACAGAGGCGCCAUUUUACGAUUCUGAAGAACGCCACACAAGGUGGAAAACAUGCUUGUUAAAGUUCAGUUUUGGAACUCCAAAAAAUGUAUCAAGCUUCAAGAUGGAUUUACAUAUGUGGACUUCAUAAAUGAAGGGACAGCUCUUCGUAUUUAUGAUGACACUGAAACUGAGAUUGAGGACGACAUUUUACAUGAUUUAUUUCAAGAAAAACCUGACAUGAUGUUAACAGUCAGAGACAACAAUACUGAAUUGGAGAUGUUAGUUCCAGGAAGCAGUUCCUGCACUGAUACUUUGUCCUUAUCUAGCCGUUCAUCAAGUGACCUAGACCAAACACCGGAGCAUCCGGCCAAGAGGUCCAAAAAAUUAGAAGAUUCAGCAGCUGCCGCCAAAGAGGUUGUCCUUAAACCACAAAGCCGGUGGAGUCCAAAAACACUCUGACAAGUGAAACAAUGCACGUUCUUGUCAACAUACUGGUUAGACACAUGGUAGGGAUGCAUGGGUGGAUUCCUACACGGAACCAAAGCGAGCAGCAUGCCCUUGGUAUUGUGACACUUUUUCCAGCAUUGCGAGAUCCAUACUCAAAGAAGGGCUAUGAGCACUUCUAUGAUGUUGACAGCGGAACUGGCUACCUUGCCUGGUGACUAAACACAGUGCAGAGGAAUACAUCUCAUUAUACUGCUAAGGUUGAUACAGCUAGCUCUGACCUGGGAGGUCCUUCCUUGAAGUGAUCCAUCAACCCUGAAGAGCACCUUGAUGAGGACGCAGAAUACUUCUGAAGAAGGUCAGAUCUUCUUUAAGAUAAAGGAAACGUCCCAUCACAGACAUGGACUUGUCCAUGACCCAGAUAAAACCAUGGAUAUUCUGAAAACAUUUCCCCGGUUUUUAGACAUCAAAGGACUGGUUAACCAAGACUUCACACUCAUCUUCCAUCCUGAAACAGCUAAUACAUUGCAAGGAAAGUGGGACACUGUAUUCAAGCCAGGAAUUAUUGAGGAAGCCAUGGGCUUGACUUUAACUCCUGCUGUGCAUUCCCUCAUCUCAUCAGCAAGAAAACAGACAAUUGAUCUCUGCAGGAAUACUCUGGGAAACUCUUAAGGCCUUCUUAAGAGGACAGAUUACCUCAUAUCUUUCCCACAGAAAUAAAUCUGAGGCCAAGAAAGUAGCAGAGAUAAAAAACGAAAUUGCUAAAAUAGAUGAAGACCACGCCAGACUACCAAGCGAGACUGUACAUAGGAGAAGGCAGGCUCUACAUUCGGAAUUAAACCUCUUGA